UACAGAGACUGCAAGCGUUAUUCGGAUUCACUGGGCGUAAAGCGUGCGCAGGCGGUUUUGUAAGACUGUCGUGAAAUCCCCGGGCUCAACCUGGGAAUGGCGAUGGUGACUGCAAGGCUAGAGUUUGGCAGAGGGGGGUAGAAUUCCACGUGUAGCAGUGAAAUGCGUAGAUAUGUGGAGGAACACCGAUGGCGAAGGCAGCCCCCUGGGUCAAAACUGACGCUCAUGCACGAAAGCGUGGGGAGCAAACAGG
rnacentral:rRNA from 1 species